GUGAGGAAUAUUGCGCAAUGGAGGCAACUCUGACGCAGCCAUGCCGCGUGCAGGAAGAAGGCGCUACGCGUUGUAAACUGCUUUUAACCGGGAAGAAACCCCAGGACGUGUCCUGGGUUGACGGUACCGGAGGAAUAAGCACCGGCUAACUUCGUGCCAGCAGCCGCGGUAAUACGAAGGGUGCAAGCGUUAUCCGGAUUCAUUGGGUUUAAAGGGUGCGUAGGCGGAGCGUUAAGUCAGUGGUGAAAUCCUGCAGCUUAACUGUAGAGUUGCCAUUGAUACUGGCGCUCUUGAGUGCGCUUGAAGUGGGCGGAAUGUGCCGUGUAGCGGUGAAAUGCUUAGAUAUGGCACAGAACACCAAUUGCGAAGGCAGCUCACUAAGGCGAUACUGACGCUGAGGCACGAAAGCGUGGGGAUCGAACAGGAUUAGAAACCCGUGAGUCC
rnacentral:rRNA from 1 species